rnacentral:rRNA from 1 species
AUUAGAUACCCGGGUAGUCCACGCCCUAAACUAUGGAUACUCGACAUUUGCGAUAAACUGCAAGUGUCUGAGCGAAAGCGAUU